rnacentral:rRNA from 1 species
CUGUCCUACGGGGGGCAGCAGUGGGGAAUAUUGCACAAUGGGGGAAACCCUGAUGCCGCGACGCCGCGUGAGUGAAGAAGUAAUUCGUUAUGUAAAGCUCUAUCAGCAGGGAAGAAACAGACGGUACCUGAGUAAGAAGCCCCGGCUAACUACGUGCCAGCAGCCGCGGUAAUACGUAGGGGGCAAGCGUUAUCCGGAUUUACUGGGUGUAAAGGGAGCGUAGACGGCAGGGCAAGUCUGGAGUGAAAGCCCGGGGCCCAACCCCGGGACUGCUUUGGAAACUGCCAUGCUAGAGUGCUGGAGAG